UACGUAGGGUCCGAGCGUUGUCCGGAAUUAUUGGGCGUAAAGGGCUCGUAGGCGGUUUGUUGCGUUGGGAGUGAAAACCCGCAGCUCAACUGUGGGCUUGCAGCUGAUACGGGCGGGCUGGAGUUCGGUAGGGGAGACUGGAAUUCCUGGUGUAGCGGUGAAAUGCGCAGAUAUCAGGAGGAACACCAGUUGGCGAAGGCAGGUCCGCCUGGG
rnacentral:rRNA from 1 species